rnacentral:rRNA from 1 species
GGUGAACGCUGGCGGCGUGCCUAAUACAUGCAAGUCGAGCGGACGGACGAUAAGCUUGCGUCCCUGCUGUUAGCGGCUGACGGGUGGGUAACACGUGGAUCACCUACCUAUAAGUCUUGGAUAACUUCGUGAAGCCGGAGCUGCUACCGCAUGAUAUUUUGUACCGCAUGGUUCAAAAGUUAAAGACGGUCUUGCUGUCACAUUUAGAUGGAUUCGCGCUGCAUUAGCUAGUUGGUAAGGUAACGGCUUACCAAGGCAACGAUGCAUAGCCGACCUGAGAGGGUGAUCGGCCACACUGGAACUGAGACACGGUCCAGACUCCUACGGGAGGCAGCAGUAGGGAAUAUUCGGCAAUGGGCGAAAGCCUGACGGAGCAAUGCCGCGUGAGUGAUGAAGGUCUUCGGAUCGUAAAACUCUGUUGUUAGGGAAGAACAGAUGUGGAAGUAACUGUGGACGUCUUGACGGUACCUAAUCAGAAAGCAACGGCUAACUACGUG